rnacentral:rRNA from 3 species
UGGGGAAUCUUCCGCAAUGGACGAAAGUCUGACGGAGCAACGCCGCGUGAGUGAUGAAGGUCUUCGGAUUGUAAAGCUCUGUUAAUCGGGACGAAAGAGCCUAGUGUGAAUAAUGCUAGGAAGUGACGGUACCGGAAUAGAAAGCCACGGCUAACUACGUGCCAGCAGCCGCGGUAAUACGUAGGUGGCAAGCGUUGUCCGGAAUUAUUGGGCGUAAAGCGCGCGCAGGCGGAUCUGCCAGUCUGUCUUAAAAGUUCGGGGCUUAACCCCGUGAUGGGAUGGAAACUACAGAUCUAGAGUAUCGGAGAGGAAAGUGGAAUUCCUAGUGUAGCGGUGAAAUGCGUAGAUAUUAGGAAGAACACCAGUGGCGAAGGCGACUUUCUGGACGAAAACUGACGCUGAGGCGCGAAAGCCAGGGGAGCGAACGGG